CCUAGGGUCGCUGCAGACGAGAAAACUUUGCAAUGUGCGAAAGCACGACAAGGUUAAUCCGAGUGGUUUGUGCUAAACGAACCUUUUGACAGUCCUAGAAACACUGUUGAAUAAGGGGUGGGCAAGUUCUGGUGUCAGCCGCCGCGGUAAAACCAGCACCUCAAGUGGUCAGGAUGAUUAUUGGGCCUAAAGCAUCCGUAGCCGGCUCUGUAAGUUUUCGGUUAAAUCUGUACGCUCAACGUACAGGCUGCCGGGAAUACUGCAGAGCUAGGGAGUGGGAGAGGUAGACGGUACUCGGUAGGAAGGGGUAAAAUCCUUUGAUCUAUUGAUGACCACCUGUGGCGAAGGCGGUCUACCAGAACACGUCCGACGGUGAGGGAUGAAAGCUGGGGGAGCAAACCGGAUUAGAUACCCUAGUAGUC
rnacentral:rRNA from 1 species